UACGUAGGGUGCAAGCGUUAAUCGGAAUUACUGGGCGUAAAGCGUGCGCUGGCGGUUUUGUAAGUCUGUCGUGAAAUCCCCGGGCUCAACCUGGGAAUUGCGAUGGAGACUGCAAGGCUAGAAUCUGGCAGAGGGGGGUAGAAUUCCACGUGUGGCAGUGAAAUGCGUAGAGAUGUGGAGGAACACCGAUGGCGAAGGCAGCCCCCUGGGUCAAGAUUGACGCUCAUGCACGAAAGCGUGGGGAGCAAACAGG
rnacentral:rRNA from 1 species